rnacentral:lncRNA from 1 species
GACAACUUUUUAAACCAGGUACGGACACUAUGAGUUGCACACCAAGAUAAUCUAAGCAAGAUAGCCAGCACACUCUUCUUGGAGAGAGAUUUCUUAACCCAAUUCAAUUCAUCAUUCUAUCUCCCCACAUCUUUAUAGAUAUUACUCUUUUUCAAAGGGCAACCUGGUCAUGUCAUUUGGGCUAACCAACGCCCCAACCAUCUUCAUAAAUAUGAUUAACAGGGUCUUCA